UACGAAGGGGGCUAGCGUUGCUCGGAAUCACUGGGCGUAAAGCGCACGUAGGCGGCUUUCUAAGUCAGGGGUGAAAUCCUGGAGCUCAACUCCAGAACUGCCUUUGAUACUGGAGAGCUUGAGUCCGGGAGAGGUGAGUGGAACUCCGAGUGUAGAGGUGGAAUUCGUAGAUAUUCGGAAGAACACCAGUGGCGAAGGCGGCUCACUGGCCCGGUACUGACGCUGAUGUGCGAAAGCGUGGGGAGCAAACAGG
rnacentral:rRNA from 1 species